CGCCCGCCGCGCGCGGCGGGCGGGGCGGGGGCACGGGGGGAGAGUUUGAUUCUGGCUCAGAUUGAACGCUGGCGGAAUGCUUUACACAUGCAAGUCGAACGGCAGCACGGGGGCAACCCUGGUGGCGAGUGGCGAACGGGUGAGUAAUACAUCGGAACGUGCCCAGUCGUGGGGGAUAACGUAGCGAAAGCUACGCUAAUACCGCAUACGAACUCUGGUUGAAAGCGGGGGAUCGCAAGACCUCGCGCGAUUGGAGCGACCGAUGGCAGAUUAGGUAGUUGGUGAGGUAAAGGCUCACCAAGCCUGCGAUCUGUAGCUGGUCUGAGAGGACGACCAGCCACACUGGGACUGAGACACGGCCCAGACUCCUACGGGAGGCAGCAGUGGGGAAUUUUGGACAAUGGGCGCAAGCCUGAUCCAGCCAUGCCGCGUGCAGGAUGAAGGCCUUCGGGUUGUAAACUGCUUUUGUACGGAACGAAAAGGCUUUCUCUAAUAAAGGGAGCUCAUGACGGUACCGUAAGAAUAAGCACCGGCUAACUACGUGCCAGCAGCCGCGGUAA
rnacentral:rRNA from 1 species